rnacentral:rRNA from 1 species
UGGGGAAUUUUGGACAAUGGGCGAAAGCCUGAUCCAGCAAUGCCGCGUGUGUGAAGAAGGCCUUCGGGUUGUAAAGCACUUUUGUCCGGAAAGAAAUCCUUGGCUCUAAUACAGUCGGGGGAUGACGGUACCGGAAGAAUAAGCACCGGCUAACUACGUGCCAGCAGCCGCGGUAAUACGUAGGGUGCAAGCGUUAAUCGGAAUUACUGGGCGUAAAGCGUGCGCAGGCGGUUUGCUAAGACCGAUGUGAAAUCCCCGGGCUCAACCUGGGAACUGCAUUGGUGACUGGCAGGCUAGAGUAUGGCAGAGGGGGGUAGAAUUCCACGUGUAGCAGUGAAAUGCGUAGAGAUGUGGAGGAAUACCGAUGGCGAAGGCAGCCCCCUGGGCCAAUACUGACGCUCAUGCACGAAAGCGUGGGGAGCAAACAGGAUUAGAUACCCUGGUAGUCCACGCCCUAAACGAUAUCAACUAGUUGUUGGGGAUUCAUUUCCUUAGUAACGUAGCUAGCGCGUGAAGUUGACCGCCUGGGGAGUACGGUCGCAAGAUUAAAACUUAAUGAAUUGACGGGGUCAUAGCUGUUUCCAU